GAUCAUGACGACCUGAGCUGAAUGAGCCACCCAGGCGCCCCUCGUUUUUAGUUAUUUUUUGUUGGCUUGUUUGUUUUUAAAUAAAGGAAGGACUGCCCAGCCCAGUGUUGCUGCUGCGGUGGACUGUAAACGGGCUCCCCACACUCGGUGCACUUCUGUGGUGGCGGGUGCUCUCUGGGGCCCACACAAGUGCUGAGUGUUCACGUUGCCUUCAAGGGGGUGCUACUGGAAGAAGAAACACAGCUCUUUUAUUUAACUUCAGUUUUAAGCAUUAGCCCACAUUAUUUUUAAUGUUCAGAAAUGGGGAAAAUGAUUAGAAAAGUUUGGCUGUGCUCCAGCUUGCAGAACCCCUUGUAUUUCAGCAGGUGUAACAGGGAGGGCGUUGGAACCCUCAAGUCUGGGUCUCCUCCCUCCAGCUUGCUCCCUCGUGUCCUUGAACAAAUUAGUCUUGCCCUGUGAGUCUGCUUCAUGACCUGUUAGAUGGGGCCACUCGUUGUUCAAAGUGUUGUGAGGAUUAAACAAGAGACUGUGUGUUCCUGGCAUACAAUUAAUGUUCUGUCUUCGUGUAUUUAGUUUAAUUUUUUUUUAAACAAAAUAACUUUAAUAAUAAUAUCAACAUCAUAUUAGAAUCCAAAAUAUGCCUUUGUUCUUUUUUAAAGAUAAGAUUAAAAAGAGAUUUCUUGUGUAGUGUCGACUUUUAAAUAUAAUGAAAAUGUAAGUAACCAUACAAUGGUUCUUUUUAGUUGGUAGAGAAAAUAUAAAUAAUAAGUAUGAAAACCUGUUUUUUUAAUUGGACUUAUAAAGAAGAUUUAAGAGGUUUUGUGCUCUUUUUUUUAAGUUCAAAGAUAAGAUUUGAAACCAAAUGAUAUGUGUUCGUGGACUCUUCUGUGAUUUAGGAAUGUGUUUUCUAUUUCCUCUGUAUAUCCCAGUUUUUAUGUUCGAUGUUUUUGCUACUUUAAAUUCUGUUUGGUGGAACAUAAGCAAAUGUUUAUGAAUAUGUAUUAGUGAGAAGCAGAUUUUUUGACUUAGUAAACAGAAUUAAAAUUUAGUAACAGAUUUCCUUCUUUGAUUUUGAUAUAUUUUUCUUUGGCACCUUGAAAUAACCCCUUACACAUCAGAACCCUUGGAACUGCUGAGUGCCGUGGCGUUCUGCUAUGAGGACAAGGCUUGACCUUCAGUGCCAGCCGGUUCGCUGGUGUUGCUGGUUUAUGGUGCAGGUGGUUUUUCCGCCUUCCUCUUUCCGGUUGUUCAGAAUAGGUCGGGGGUACUGUGGAAGGUUUUCCUGGAGUGCUGAUCUUCCAUCGUUUUUUUAACCGAACACCCCAGCAUUGUGACCCGUUGCCUGUAGAAUAAAGUCAGCACUCCUUUGCAUGGCAUAGAAGACAUUUCAGGCUAGUCUUGACCUGAUUUUUCCGUUUCAGCACUCACCCCCGCCCCCCGGCUCCAAAUCCAGCCGGCAUAAAUUGCAUGUGCCGUUAGUAUUGCUUGGAAUAGUCUCUUCCUUGCAUAGCAAACCCCAACUAAUUUUUCCAGACCCAUCUCACGCACUGUGUUCUUCCCAAGUUUCUUACGGACUCUUCCAGGCAGCAUCAGAUCUUCCCCAGGGCCCCAGGUCUUCCUUCAUAGACCCGUGGUCACACCUUUCGCACCAGUCCCCUCCACCAGCUCUGAGCUUCCCAAGGACAGGCGCGUGUCUGAGUCUGUGUCUGGGGACAGAGCAGAAGUGACCGCUCACAAAAUGGCUGCUUCAGUCUGUUCUUCCACAAGAACAAUUUCCACACGUGCGGUAGAUUAAGGAGUAGCGCGGUGACAGAAAUACAUUCACAAAACCAGAACUCACACCAGUCAAACUGUUUCUGUUCUGCUGCGUGACGGUGAGUAGAGAAGCCUUAGUAUUACAUAAAUGUAAAUUCUGUAGGCGAUUUGUGGGACUAGUAUGUGUUUUGUAGGACAGAAACAGUAGCUUUAUAGGGUUACUCUGUCUUUAUGACAGGAUGAGUAGGAGUUUGCUAGCAUACUGGCAGACGUAAUUUGGAAAAUACCAGGGAACUUGGAGAAACCAGAUAAAGUUAGAGAAGGCACAUGUUUCCAUUUUGGAACAUUUUUUGCAGAAUUCACUUUAUUAUAUUUAAUCAGUUAGUUAGAAAUGGGAUUGCUGGGUCACAGGGUGAAUAUAUGUGGAAUUUUAUCAUUACUACUUAAAUAUCAUAGCCCUUUUCCUGCAUAGGUUAAGUAAAACCAGUCUUCAAAUUGUGUUCUUCUUAGUCUUGGGUGAAAUGCUGGGUUUGGUAAUGGUGCUUUUUUGUGAAUUGCUAUUGUGCUUGCCAAACUUUGCUGUGAGCUGUUUCAGGACUUGUACUUUAUUUGACCUCUAGAAUCUAGAUAAAUAGAUCACUAUUAAAUGCAAAAUUUUCCACUUCUGACUUAACGCUUCAUAUAAUCGGAGGCGUAUAACCUGAGUUCUAAGCUUUACUCUCUCAUGGGAGUCUGUCCUCCUGAGAAUUUGACGGGUUCUGUGGAUUGACUGUCUCCACAGCACUUUCUUUGUCCCUCAGUAGCAGAGUGGCCAACAGCAGGAGCAGACAAACCUGAUUUUCCCUCCACACUCUGUCACUUAGUAGCUAUUCUGUAAAUUCGGGACAUUAAUGGUUCCUGUUCGUAGAUUUGUUGUUGAGAAUUAGCUCAGAUAGAGGUUUAAGAAGGAAGAGCUGACCAGGGUUGGGGAGUGAAGGAGAGGCAGUGAUCCUGGUGACUCUGAGAUUUCGGGUUUGCUCGACUGGGUGGAUAGUUUGAAAUAAUUCAGGUGCGGUGGGGGAGAGAAAAUGAACGCAGGGUCCAUAUUUGUGACUUGGGAGAUGGAAAGUUUCAUGGCCUCACAGAUAAUUCCUUUCUGCUUUGAAGGCGAAGAUGAGGAGGAAGAAAUAUGAUUUACAAAGCUGUGUUGACAUACGUGCACCUCUGCACCAAACGCCUGGGUACAGAGGGCGUGGGUCGCUGUUCGGGGGUGUGCACACUGUUGUCUCCCUUAUUAAAAGUCAAGGUCUUUUAUCCACACAAAGAAAAAAAUGAGCUCAGAUAAUGUAUGUUGAUAGCUUACCACAGAACCUGCCACACAGAAAGCUUGCAUAAUCCCGCCUGGCAGUUACCAGUUACUUUUUUAUGUCGACAGAGGUACACAUGGGUUUGGAGACUCACUCAUCUUUCAGGAACCCAGCUGCAGGGAGAUUUUGUUACCUGUUCCUCAGCCAUCCAAGGAUGGGGUCUUCAGCAUCUGCCUUCCCUCACCUUCUGCUCCUCUGAAUCUUUGGUAUGAAAGGCUUUGAAAGGAACUCAGCCUUAUCAAUCACCUCAUUAUGUGAUCUUAACCUUCUUGGUUUUGUGGACUUUGUGAAAAUCUGAUGAUUUGUCUCUGAAUUUGUAUACAUACAACUUUGUGUGUUUGGACUCCCAGAGAGUAACCUAAUCUUUGAGAAGGCCUUAAAUUUGAAGUGGGUUGAAAAUCUAGAUUUGUCAAAGCUUUUUCUCUGUGAGGCAUCAUACUUAGGAUGCCUGGUUAUGGCUUUUAAAAUUUAGCAAAAAUUCAGUUCUUCAAAGGAAGUAAAGAAUCUGGA